AGUGAACGCUGGCGGUAGGCCUAACACAUGCAAGUCGAACGGCAGCACAGUAGGAGCUUGCUCUUACGGGUGGCGAGUGGCGGACGGGUGAGGAAUACAUCGGAAUCUACUUUUUCGUGGGGGAUAACGUAGGGAAACUUACGCUAAUACCGCAUACGACCUACGGGUGAAAGCAGGGGAUCUUCGGACCUUGCGCGAUUGAAUGAGCCGAUGUCGGAUUAGCUAGUUGGCGGGGUAAAGGCCCACCAAGGCGACGAUCCGUAGCUGGUCUGAGAGGAUGAUCAGCCACACUGGAACUGAGACACGGUCAAGACUCCUACGGGAGGCAGCAGUGGGGAAUAUUGGACAAUGGGCGCAAGCCUGGUCCAGCCAUACCGCGUGGGUGAAGAAGCCCUUCGGGUUGUAAAGCCCUUUUGUUGGGAAAGAAAAGCAGCAGGUUAAUACCCCGCUGUUCUGACGGUACCCAAAGAAUAAGCACCGGCUAACUUCGUG
rnacentral:rRNA from 1 species